rnacentral:rRNA from 1 species
UGCUAGUCGUAGCAGGCAGCGUCGUAGCAGUCCGAAGACCCGGCUACCUGGACUACGAUGUGACUGCAAGGCUAGAGUGGUCAGACGGGGGUGGAUCACUGUAGCUAGUGAAAUGCGUAGAGAUGUGGAGGACACCGAUGGCGAAGGCGGCCCCCCUGGAUGACACUGACGCUCAUGCACGAAAGCGUGGGGGAGCAAACAGGAUAGAUACCCUGGUAGUCUCCGCCCCUAAAACGAUGUCAACUGGUUGUUGGAAGGGGUAACCUUUUAGUAACGAAGCUAACGCGUGAAGUUGACCGCCUGGGGGAGUACGGUCGCAAGAUUAAAACUCAAAAGGAAUUGACGGGGACCCGCACACGCGGUGGAUGAUGUGGUUUAAUUUGAUGCAACGCGAAAAACCUUACCUACACUUGACAUGCCAGAAAUCCUGCAGAGAUGUGGGAGUGCCGCAAGGAAUCUGGGCACAGGUGCUGCAUGGCUGUCGUCAGCUCGUGUCGUGAGAUGUUGGGUUAAGUCCCGCAACGAGCGCAACCCUUGUCACUAGUUGCUACAUUUAGUUGGGCACUCUAGUGAGACUGCCGGUGACAAACCGGAGGAAGGUGGGGAUGACGUCAAGUCCUCAUAGCCCUUAUGUGUAGGGGUACACACGUCAUACAAUGGUCGGUACAGAGGGUUGCCAACCCGCGAGGGGGAGGUAAUCUCACAAAGCCGAUCGUAGUCCGGAUCGCAGUCUGCAACUCGACUGCGUGAAGUCGGAAUCGCUAGUAAUCGUGGAUCAGCAUGUCACGGUGAAUACGUUCCCGGGUCUUGUACACACCGCCCGUCACACCAUGGGAGUGGAAUCCGCCAGAAGUAGUUAGCCUAACCGCAAGGAGGGCGAUUACCACGGUAGGUUUCAUGACUGGGGUGAAGUGUAACAAGGUAACC